UGAGCAAUUUUCUCUCAAUGACACCAAUGAUAAGGAAUAAUGCACUCAUAAUUGGAAGAAACGUAGAAUGUCGAUGGGCUUAUAAUAUAUGUCAGCGAUGUUCCUGUUCGUCUAUCCCAAGAUUUCUGUGUUCUCAGAUCUUGUAAAUCUUGGACCGUGCUUGCAACGAUCUUGCGAACGAUCCAUGUUACUCGGCUAGGCGUACCAUCCCUUGCCGCAUUUACAAGGUAAUUAAACUGUGUAGCUGUAGCUGUGUAGCUUUUGCGCGGCGACAAAAAUUGUGGGACAAAUACAAGGCGAAAUCUCGCAAACACAGACCCUCGAUGGUCGUCUCGACGGACAUCAGCUAUGGGACGCACGUUUGCAUGAAAAACAGUCCAAUGUACCAACGGGGAGCGAUCGGCUUCACCAUCGCCAACGGCGUUCCCAAGGUCAGUCAGCUGCUCUUGGCCGCCUGGAACCUCGAUUCAACUUACCAAUUUCUUUCGCUCUUUGAACAUUAUUGCUCUCGUUGGAAUGUUGCUCAAUUUUUUGAAGGAUUAAUUGAUUUUGUUACUGGAGAACACACGAUGAAACAGAAACGCCAGUUUCUUCGGCGCAGAACACUCACGACCAGCCUCCAGCUGAUUUUAGAUACACUGCGCAUGUACACCGCGCAUAUCCAUUGCGCAGGCCCGAAGUGCUCGGAAACUAGGGGAAAUCAUGGGGAAAUCAAUCACUUAAUA